AUUGAACGCUGGCGGCAGGCUUAACACAUGCAAGUCGAGCGAGCGGCGGACGGGUGAGUAAUGUCUGGGAAACUGCCUGAUGGAGGGGGAUAACUACUGGAAACGGUAGCUAAUACCGCAUACCAUCCGAUGAUCCCAGAUGGGAUUAGCUGGUAGGUGGUGUACUGGGUCACAUAGGCGACGAUCCCUAGCUGGUCUGAGAGGAUGACCAGCCACACUGGAACGGUGACACGGCCCAGACUCCGACGGGAGGCAGCAGUGGGGAAUAUUGGACAAGGGGCGCAAGCCUGAUGCAGCCAUGCCGCGUGUGUGAAGAAGGCCUGCGGGUUGUAAAGCACUUUAAGCUAGGAGGCGUUACUCGCAGAAGAAGCACCGGCUAACUCCGUGCCAGCCGCCGCGGUAAUUC
rnacentral:rRNA from 1 species